ACGCCCGCCCCGUACGGCCCCCGUUCACCCGGCGGGCGGAAAACCGGAAGCCCCCACGAGGACGUGCCUCGUGGGGGCUUCCG
rnacentral:ncRNA from 1 species